GUCCACGCCGUAAACGAUGAAUACUAGGUGUAGGGUUGUCAUGACCUCUGUGCCGCCGCUAACGCAUUAAGUAUUCCGCCUGGGGAGUACGGUCGCAAGAUUAAAACUCAAAGGAAUUGACGGGGCCCGCACAAGCAGCGGAGCAUGUGGUUUAAUUCGAAGCAACGCGAAGAACCUUACCUAGACUUGACAUCUCCUGCAUUACCCUUAAUCGGGGAAGUUCCUUCGGGAACAGGAAGACAGGUGGUGCAUGGUUGUCGU
rnacentral:rRNA from 1 species